rnacentral:rRNA from 1 species
UGGUAGCAAUACCAUGGCGAACGGGUGAGUAACACGUAGGUAACCUGCCCUAAAGACGAGGAUAACCUUUGGAAACGAAGGAUAAUACUGGAUAGGAUAAUUUGAAGCAUUUUGGAUUAUUUAAAGGAGCRAUCCGCUUUAAGAGGGGCCUGCGGCGCAUUAGCUAGUUGGUGAGGUAAAGGCCCACCAAGGCGAUGAUGCGUAGCCGGACUGAGAGGUUGAACGGCCACAAUGGGACUGAGAACGGCCCAUACUCCUACGGGAGGCAGCAGUAGGGAAUUUUCGGCAAUGGGGGGAACCCUGACCGAGCAACGCCGCGUGAACGAAGAAGUUAUUCGUAAUGUAAAGUUCUUUUAUCAGGGAAGAAAAAACAAAUUGACGGUACCUGAUGAAUAAGCUCCGGCUAACUACGUGCCAGCAGCCGCGGUAAUACGUAGGGAGCGAGCGUUAUCCGGAAUUAUUGGGCGUAAAGGGUGCGUAGAUGGCAUAAGAAGUCUAUUGUAAAAGUGCUAAGCUUAACUUAGUGAGGCAAUAGAAACUCUUAAGCUAGAGUAUAACAGAGGCAAGUGGAAUUCCAUGUGUAGCGGUAAAAUGCGUAAAUAUAUGGAGGAACACCAGUGGCGAAGGCGGCUUGCUGGGUUGAUACUGACAUUGAGGCACGAAAGCGUGGGGAGCAAACAGGAUUAGAUACCCUGGUAGUCCACGCCCUAAACGAUGAGUACUAAGUGUUCCGCGAGGCAGUGCUGAAGUUAACGCAUUAAGUACUCCGCCUGAGUAGUACGUACGCAAGUAUGAAACUUAAAGGAAUUGACGGGAGCCCGCACAAGCGGUGGAGCAUGUUGUUUAAUUCGACGAUACGCGAAGAACCUUACCAGGUCUUGACAUCCUCUGCGAAGCUUAGAGAUUAAGUGG